rnacentral:rRNA from 1 species
CGCGUAGGUGGUUUGUUAAGCGAGAUGUGAAAGCCCCGGGCUUAACCUGGGAACGGCAUUUCGAACUGGCAGACUAGAGUGUGGUAGAGGGUAGUGGAAUUUCCUGUGUAGCGGUGAAAUGCGUAGAUAUAGGAAGGAACACCAGUGGCGAAGGCGGCUACCUGGACCAACACUGACACUGAGGUGCGAAAGCGUGGGAAGCAAACA